GACGAACGCUGGCGGCGUGCUUAACACAUGCAAGUCGAACGGAAAGGCCCUGCUUGCAGGGUACUCGAGUGGCGAACGGGUGAGUAACACGUGGGUGAUCUGCCCUGCACUUCGGGAUAAGCCUGGGAAACUGGGUCUAAUACCGGAUAGGAGCCAUUUUUAGUGUGAUGGUUGGAAAGUUUUUUCGGUGUAGGAUGAGCUCGCGGCCUAUCAGCUUGUUGGUGGGGUAAUGGCCUACCAAGGCGGCGACGGGUAGUCGGCCUGAGAGGGUGGACGGCCACAUUGGGACUGAGAUACGGCCCAGACUCCUACGGGAGGCAGCAGUGGGGAAUAUUGCACAAUGGGCGCAAGCCUGAUGCAGCGACGCCGCGUGGGGGAUGACGGCCUUCGGGUUGUAAACGCCUUUCGCUAGGGACGAAGCUUUUUGUGACGGUACCUAGAUAAGAAGCACCGGCUAACUACGUG
rnacentral:rRNA from 1 species